rnacentral:tRNA from 1 species
ACUAUUUGGCAGAAUAAAUGUUUUAAAUUUAGAAUUUAAUUAUUAUAUAUAAAUAUAUAAAUAGUA